CCUACGGGCGGCAGCAGUGAGGAAUAUUGGUCAAUGGGCGCAAGCCUGAACCAGCCAAGUCGCGUGAGUGAUUAAUGCCCUGCGGGUCGUAACCCUCUUUUGCCGGGGAGCAGACGUCCGGACGUGUACGGGCCGGUGUAGUACCCGUAGAACAAGCAUCUGCUAACUCCGUGCCAGCAGCCGCGGUAAUACACAGGAUGCGAGCGUUAUCCGGAUUUAUUGGGUUUAAAGGGUGUGUAGGCGGGCAUUUAAGCCGGCGGUCAAAUGUCGGGGCUCAACCCAGUCCUGCCGUCGGAACUGGGUGCCUUGAGUGGGCGAGAAGUAUGCGGAAUGCGGGGUGGAGCGGUGAAAUGCAUAGAUAUCACGCAGAACCCCGAUUGCGAAGGCAGCAUACCGGCGCCCUACUGACGCUGAGGCACGAAAGUGCGGGUAUCGAACAGGAUUAGAUACCCUAGUAGUC
rnacentral:rRNA from 1 species